rfam:Macaca mulatta chromosome 10, whole genome shotgun sequence.
CCAUGGUGGCGGCUGGGGACAGCCUCAUGGUGGCGGCUGG